rnacentral:rRNA from 1 species
CAGCAGUAGCCGCGGUAAUACGGAGGGAGCUAGCGUUGUUCGGAAUUACUGGGCGUAAAGCGCACGUAGGCGGCUUUGUAAGUUAGAGGUGAAAGCCUGGAGCUCAACUCCAGAAUUGCCUUUAAGACUGCAUCGCUUGAAUCCAGGAGAGGUGAGUGGAAUUCCGAGUGUAGAGGUGAAAUUCGUAGAUAUUCGGAAGAACACCAGUGGCGAAGGCGACUGACUGGACAAGUAUUGACGCUGAGGUGCGAAAGCGUGGGGAGCAAACAGGAUUAGAUACCCCUGUAGUCCCUGUCUCUUAUAA